GACUGGGAGAGAAGGUCGGCAAGAGGUUUUCCGCUCUUGGACGGGAGAUUUUGUUAAUUUUAUUCUUGUUAUUGAUCCAUUAUAAUAUAAGUAAUCUGAUAACCUCACGGGUGGGUAACAUGGAGUCCGUCUUUCUUUUUGGGAUGGGUUUUUGGUGGGAGGAUGGUGAGGCCACCCCAUGGCCAUGGGGACCAUGAUAUUGUUUUAUGGAGAUCAUCCCCUCUUGGAUCUUGUUUUACUUUUCCUGCCAUGAAGCAAUGGGAUGCAUGUGAAUUGGGAUUCUUGGAGCUCAUUACUUUGUAGCCUUAUUUCUCUCCAGCAACGGCACGGCAAGAACAGUGUGAAGUUCCUUCAUCUCUCUACUUCUCUGGCUUUAGGUCCCUCUACUCACGUCUCCCCCCAUCUUUUUAUGUCAUGGCUCUGGUUGGAAUUGUAACGAGCUAAGCUCAAGCAAGCCAGACCUAUAGCCUAACUUGUUUAGUAAUUAAGUUGAUAGAACUCAAAAACUUUUUAUUUAAUUUUGAGUCAAAGCUGGGUUGUUUGUGGACAAUUUUUUUUUUGGAUAAUUAAUAAAUACCCUCCAUAUUUUUACUAAUUUUGCGGAUACCUUUCUACACUUAAAAUUUAAGCAAUGUCAACCCUGCAUUUAAUAGAACAUUGCAAUUUGCCCUUCUGACGAUCCAAAUUGGGUCUGAGGCUCCUAUCAGUGAUUACGUGGUACUAUUUUUAUCGCACAUGGUUUACGUGGUCGGUUUUAUCGGUCUGACUUGACCCUCUCCUAAUUUGGUGCCAAACUUUCCACCAUUAAUAGAUAUUUUUUCAUCUCUAUCUCUCUCCCUGCUGUCUCUAUUCCUCUUCCUGCUCCCUGCUGUCUCUAUCCCUCUCUCUGCCUAGGUUUCAGACGAACUAGAGAUGAGUUCGUCCUCAUUGAGCAUGUGGGAAGGAGAACCAUCCGCCAUUAGUGCAACCCCAAAGAUGUGUCGUUGCCGUCUUGCAUUUGUGAUGAAAACAUCGUGGACAUCUACGAAUCCGAAAAGGAGAUUUUAGGCAUGCCCUAAUUAUGAGAUUGGUGGAGGUUGUAACUAUUUUCAAUGGUUAGAUCUGGAGUGGGACGGACACUCAUUCAAGAUUAUCCAUAAAUUGCAGAAAAGGAUUGACAGGUUGGAGGCUGAUAAGCAGGUCUUGCAGGCGAAGAAGGAAAGUUUGAAAUCUAAGAUAUCUAAUCUUGAAAAGCAGGUGGCUAAUCUAAAAAGACAAAUUAAUAUUUGGGAAAAUCGGAAGAGAUAUGAUAUGUUUGGUGUGUUUGGUUUUUUUAAUCUUGUAUUUGCUGAUUUUCUUAGCCUAUAGGCUUAAUGUACCAUUUUGUCAAACAUCCUUGCCAUGAUGGUAUAUUUGUCUUCAUGUAAAGAUUUGUAAUCUAAAACAAGAUUGUAUUUGGCAUUAUCUAUCAAUGUAUCUCUGCCGGCAUAAUGA